UUAAUGUAAUAUAUAUGGCCUGAGAACGCCCCAUCUCGUCUGAUCUGGGAAGCUAAGCAGGGUCGGGCCCGGUCAGGACUUGGGUGGGAGACCAGCUGGGUGCUGUGGGCUGAGCUCAGA
rnacentral:rRNA from 1 species